rnacentral:rRNA from 1 species
AACGAACGUUAGCGGCGCGCUUAACACAUGCAAGUCGUGCGAGAAAGGGCUUCGGCCCCGGUAAAGCGGCGCACGGGUGAGUAACACGUAGGUCAUCUACCCUCGAGUGGGGGACAACCCUCCGAAAGGAGGGCUAAUACCGCAUAAGACCACUUUAGUGGCCAAAGCGGGCCUCUCCAUGGAAGCUCGCGCUUGAGGAUGAGCCUGCGGCCCAUCAGUUUGUUGGUAGGGUAACGGCCUACCAAGGCGGAGACGGGUAGCCGGUCUGAGAGGAUGAGCAGCCACACUGGAACUGAGACACGGUCCAGACUCCUACGGGAGGCAGCAGUGGGGAAUCUUGCGCAAUGGGCGAAAGCCUGACGCAGCGACGCCGCGUGAGCGAUGAAGGCCUUCGGGUUGUAAAGCUCUGUGGGGAGGGAAGAAUAAGGGCAGGCCAAUACCCUGUCUGAUGACGGUACCUCCUUAGCAAGCACCGGCUAACUCUGUGCCAGCAGCCGCGGUAAGACAGAGGGUGCAAACGUUGUUCGGAAUUACUGGGCGUAAAGCGCGUGUAGGCUGCUCUGCAAGUCGGAUGUGAAAGCCCUCGGCUCAACCGAGGAAGAGCACCCGAAACUGCAGGGCUAGAGUCCCGGAGAGGAACGUAAAAGUC